CACUGCCCCGGCCUCCGCAGCCCGGACUCACGCACCUGGAAUGGCUGACUGGGCCCCAGGAAUUCCCGGGGUCCGGGACUGGGUAGCCUCUGUGAUGUCACCAGUACCAGGAGCAAUUACAUCACAAGAGCUGCUUGUGAGGUCAGGAAGCUCCCCGUGCCACACUGGCAGGCCCAGGACAGGGGUUCCCCAGGGGACCUUGGAGAAACCUGAAAAGGGUGGAAGUUACUAGAAAGCUCCUGGUGCAGUAAAUGGUCACACGUGCAGAAAAGCUGAAAACUCCCUCACCAUCACCUUGGGUGGCAUUUGCUAUCUCUAGGAUCCAUGGUGCCCCCUCUUAGGAGAAUGCAGCCCUUGACUUCCAAAAGUCUUACCUUGAAUAAGGUUUCCAGAACUUCCUGCGGAAACCGAAGCCUUUGGCGUCAGAGGUCUGCUAGAAUUCCUCACCCACAGACCUGCGCUCUUGAGAACACAGCGGUUUAAGAGCGCCCAGGCCGUCACUGCUCAGAAGAGCCUUUUGCCUCCAGCCAUGAUUCUGAGGCCUUCCCAGCCAUGUGGAACUCCAUGUAAGAAGUGCCUUUCACCUCCCACCAUGAUUCUGAGGCUUCCCCAGCCAUGUGGAACUCUGACGUAAGUCUAUCAUGCCCAUAUUACAAAUCAGAACACUGAAGUUGGGAAGUAAACUCCCUCAAGAUCACACAGCUAAUGAGUACUAGAUCUGGGAUUCAGACUCACAAUGAUCUCAAACUUUUCGAUCCAAGGAAAGGACAAAGAAUAAGAAUAAAUGGCUGCAUAUGUGUGGCCAGCCCAGCAUAUGUGAGAGAGCAGCAGGGUGAGGCACAGCCUUCAAAAAAAUAAAAAUAAAAAUAAAAUGGAAUCUCACAAAAAUGAGAGAAAUGGGAUGAGACGGCAAGAACGGAAGAGAAGUAAGUGGCCAGGUGUGGUGGCUCACGCCUGUAACCCCAGCACUUUGUGAGGCCAACAAAGGCAAAUCCCGUGAGGUUGGGAGUUCAAGACCAACCUGAUCAACAUGGAAAAACCCAAUCUCUACUAAAAUACAAAAUUACCCGGGUGUGGUGGCGCAUGCUUGUAAUCCCAACUACUCAGGAGCCUGUGUCAGGAGAACUGCUUAAACUGGGGAGGAGGAGGCGGAUGUUGUGGUGGGCAGAAAUUGAGCCAUUGCACUCCAGCCUGGGUAAUAAGAGCAAAACUCCGUCUCAAAAAAAAAAAGGUGGGAGGGAGUAAGAGAUCAUAAAAUCAAAUUUUUGGAAGCAGCAGUGCACAAGCAAGAAUGGUAACUGACUUUAGCUGACUCAAGAAAGCUAAAUCCUUAGCCAGUAGUAGGGAAAGCCAAGAAGCAACAUUUUUACCACAGAACCUCCAAAUGAUGCAAGAAUCAGCAGCAUCAGAGAUUGCACUAUAAAAGGAGAAAUUGUUUGAGGAGCUGUUUAAGAUGCAAUUAGACUUACGGAUCCCCUUGCAGUUUCACAUAGCUGGGCAACUGCCCAUCUCUCAUCUAAGAAGACUAGCAGUUUUUAUUCCCUGCAAAGAGUAAGACAGGGGGUCUCUGGACUAGGGGAACACCAGAGACACUGAGGACGAGGGUACCAUAUUGUAAACAGGAUUAAGUUGGCCUAUAAAUUGAAUAUUAGCAACCUAGCUUUCUUCUAACAUUUAGUAACCAGAAUGCUAUUUAUCAGGCUUAUACUUACCCAAGCCCAGUAGAAGAAUCCUGGGAGAAUCUAACCAGCCAAAGACAACAGGUCUGAAGGUGGCAGGCAGCAAGAGUUUCUUCAAAGAAAUGGCCUAGUCAUUUCAGUGAACCUGAUAGUCUUCAUUGCUACCCAUAGGUUUUAAAUAACUUUAAAUAGAGCAGAUGACCAACAAUCACUGAACAACUGAGGAAAGUUUCUAACAUGAAAAUGAUCAAAACAAAAGAACAUACAAACAAAAGAAACUUGGAAGAAACCAAGACUAAACAGAGGAUAAAAACUUUUUUUAAUGCUACUAUUAUCGUCAGAGAGAUAAAAGAAGAUAUUUAAUCCAAUAAAAUAAUUUUAUGUUUUUAAAAAGAACUACUAGAAUAGCCUAUAGAAAUUUAAAAUAUGAUUAUUAAAAUUCAAAACUCCAGAGUUCGAAAAUUAAGAUGAGAAAAAUCUCCUGGAAAGUAGAACAAAAAGACAAAUAGAAAAUAAGAAAGAUUUACCAAAAAAUUUUUAAAAAUUAAGGCAGGCGCAGUGGCUCAAGCCUGUAACCCCAGCACGUUGGGAGGCUGAGGAGGGGAGCUCACCUGAGGUCAGGAGUUCGAGACCAGCCUGACCAACAUGAACAUAACCCAUCUCUACUAAAAUUACAAAAUUAGCUGGGCAUGGUGACACAUGCCUACAAUCCCAGCUACUCAGGAGGCUAAGGCAAGAAAAUUGCUUGAACCCAGGAGGCAGAGGUUGUGGUGAGCCAACAUCACGCCAUUGCACUUCAGCCUGGGCAACAACUCCAUCUCAAAAAACAAUAAUAAUAAUAAUAAUAAUAAUAAUAAUAAUAAUUAGGCAUAGCUAGGACAUGCCUAUAGUCCUAGCUACC